rnacentral:rRNA from 1 species
GUGCCAGCAGCCGCGGUAAUACGGAGGGGGCUAGCGUUGUUCGGAAUUACUGGGCGUAAAGCGCGCGUAGGCGGAUCAGAAAGUUGGGGGUGAAAUCCCGGGGCUCAACCCCGGAACUGCCUCCAAAACUCCUGGUCUUGAGUUCGAGAGAGGUGAGUGGAAUUCCGAGUGUAGAGGUGAAAUUCGUAGAUAUUCGGAGGAACACCAGUGGCGAAGGCGGCUCACUGGCUCGAUACUGACGCUGAGGUGCGAAAGUGUGGGGAGCAAACAGGAUUAGAAACCCUUGUAGUCC